rnacentral:rRNA from 1 species
UACGUAGGGUGCAAGCGUUGUCCGGAAUUAUUGGGCGUAAAGAGCUCGUAGGCGGUUUGUCGCGUCGAAUGUGAAAGCCCGGGGCUCAACCCCGGGCCUGCAUUCGAUACGGGCAGACUAGAGUUCGGUAGGGGAGUGUGGAAUUCCUGGUGUAGCGGUGAAAUGCGCAGAUAUCAGGAGGAACACCGGUGGCGAAGGCGGGACGCUGGGCCGAUACUGACGCUGAGGAGCGAAAGCGUGGGGAGCAAACAGG